AGUCGUGGCUCCAUAGAGGAAGAGAACGGUGGGUUCUUAAGCUCUUCCUCCCUCUCGAUUUCUCAUGGUAUCGUCAUUCUAAUCGCUUAAACUCUAAUAAAUCAAAAAAAUUAGGCCUCUUGGGGUUGGAAUGAUUAAACCAUUUAAAUUUCGAUAUGUUGGUGUUUACGCGACCGUGGGCCUUCGUUCACUAUGGUUUGAUGUUUGAAUUAGAAGUGGGAUCGCAUGGAUAUUUGAUGUGGAUGAAAAUUCGGGCUAACACGAAUUUAACGGAUUUUCCGACAUCGAAAACCUAGUAGGGAUUUAUCUUAAAAAUACCAAUGUUAAGUUUAUAUACUUGUGUUAUAAUGGAGAUAAUUAGGAAUGGAUAGUCAUGGUGUUACAAGUUAAAGUGUGAUACUAUUGGAAUCAUUUUUUUUAUAGUGUGAAUUUUGAGAAAUCUA